GGAGCGCAAAAUAAACUGCACAGGUACGUUAAUAUAAUUUAUAUCUGUUUAUAAAGAGCUGUGUGUUUGUGUGCGCAUGUGUGUGCAUGUGUGCGUGCAUGCGUGUGUGUGUGAGAGAGAGGGAAAGUAUUUCUCAUGUGUGGUGUGUGUUUUUAUUCCUGCAGCUCUGUGUGAACCAGAAAAGCCUAAUGUAACUGAAAAUCUGACUACAGAAGACAGGAUCUCUCCUCUGAUCAUCAGCUUCAUCAUUCUCGGCCUCGUCGUCCUCCUCCUCCUCCUCAUCCCCAUUAGUGUUGGUGUGGUGGUGUAUAAGAGACUCCAAGGGAGCCAUGACUUUGAAAAUGCGAACACCAUUAACGAAACUAAUGACCACCACAACAUCGUGGAACUCCAGCCUCUUCAGUGAGGUUGUAUAAACCGUGCCAGCGUUUGGCCGUCUGUAGAUGAAGUUAUAAAUGUAGAGGCAGGUGCGGAGACUUCCGCUGGAAUUACAAUGAGAUCUUCAAGGUGAUUUUCUUCAUUUUCAGUUUAAAAUGUAAGAACGUCACACCUGAAUGAGAAUCAGUACAAAGAGAAACCGACUUCUGUAGUUUAUAGAUUUAUAGAUAUAUAGAUUUAUAAAUAUAUAGAUAGAUGCUCUAUAUUACACAGUAAACAGAGAAACAGGACGAUCAGAUGAAAGUUGCACCGCUGAUGAAGGACUUUUGCCUCAAAUGUUUUUGUUUCUCUGAAAAAUAUAUAUAA
ensembl:lncRNA